GAGAUAUUAGUAAAGUUUUACGUAACUUUGUCAAAGUUAAAUCACAAGUGAAAAUCUUGUAUAUCUCC
rnacentral:tRNA from 1 species